rnacentral:rRNA from 1 species
GGGGAAUAUUGCACAAUGGGCGAAAGCCUGAUGCAGCAACGCCGCGUGAGCGAUGAAGGCCUUCGGGUCGUAAAGCUCUGUCCUCAAGGAAGAUAAUGACGGUACUUGAGGAGGAAGCCCGGCUAACUACGUGCC